AACACAUAAUGAAUCGGAAGCCACACAAUGCACAUUUUUUAGAUUAAAUAAAUUGUAUAUAAACGACUCGAUUUCAUAAUUAAAUCACAGUUUGUUUUAGAAGGUUCUAAACAAAACAACUAGUAAAAAUGUUCAAAUCCCUGUUGGUCCUUGCUAUUUUGGCAAUUGCUUUUGUAGCAGCUAAACCAGAUCCAUCUCCUGCCAUUUACGCACCUGCUGCUUUACCCUACACCUAUUCUGCCCCAUACGCUGGAUACUCUUUCGGAGCUUUCCCAUCUCUUGCCUACAGUGCUGGAUUAUAUGGAUAUUAUUAAAAUGUUGGAAAAGAUAAUAAAAUUGACCAUAUAGCUUACAA